UACGUAGGUGGCAAGCGUUGUCCGGAAUUAUUGGGCGUAAAGCGCGCGCAGGCGGCUUCUUAAGUCUGAUGUGAAAUCUUGCGGCUUAACCGCAAGCGGUCAUUGGAAACUGGGAGGCUUGAGUGCAGAAGAGGAGAGUGGAAUUCCACGUGUAGCGGUGAAAUGCGUAGAGAUGUGGAGGAACACCAGUGGCGAAGGCGGCUCUCUGGUCUGUAACUGACGCUGAGGCGCGAAAGCAUGGGGAGCGUACAGG
rnacentral:rRNA from 1 species